rnacentral:lncRNA from 1 species
UUUUCUUCUGCACUACUUUCCUAAUAAACCCUGGCUACUAGGUAGCCUUUGAUGACCUCCAAGUAGUUUACCUAUGCAACUUGUCAUAUCCCAUCCAUUCAUCUUUUUUUUUUUCUCUGCUAUUUCAGGAAGAAGUUCCCAGGGGAGGUUUUUGGUAUAAAUUUGGCCUUCUCCUGGUUUUGUUUUGGCCACUUUUCUUCAUAAGUUUCAGCUUUCCUCAAGAAGUUCUGAGAGAAGUGCGUCACAAAUCUUGCAGCAGUUUGGUGGGAUGUCACAGCACGCAUCGGGAAAUGCACCUGUGUCUUUGCAGUUGUAUUUCCUUUGGAAAAGACUUUUCUACUUUUAAUAUGAAUUAAGCCAUAAUAAUUUCAUGCUGUGGAACAAGAAUGGAGAGCUUCACUUUAAGAGAUUAUAUAAUACAAACUUUCACAUUUACUGUGAAAUGACUUGACUUUGCCAGUGCUUCAGCAGGUUUUGUGGUGAUAUUUUGGAGGGGGGAUAUGAUAUUUUGUUUUUUAAUCUGUGAAAUUUUAAAAGGGGACAGUUGUUGGCUAUGGUAUUUACUAGUUUUGUAGUAAUGUUUUGCUAACCUGACUGCCUUUCUUCCCCAAUGAUUUUUAUGGUCCAAGUUGACUCUUGAUAUUCUUUCUUACUUUGGGUGUCUCUGGGGGUAGUAUCUUGUCUAUUUGUAUAGGUUGUCGGUGUGUGUGCACAGGGUGUGUCCUUUUGUUACAGAAACACACUGGGUUGCAAUUGGGUGUUUGGCUGGGAAAUGGGGUUGCUGAAGUGUGAAGAACGUUUUUGUUUUUGUUUUUUUUUUUCCAAUUCAUAACAGUAUUUCCCAUCUUUUGCCUGCAGGCAGGGAAAGUGUAUGUACAGUAUUUAUUUUGUUUCUAUUUUACUUUAAAUUUGUAAGUUUUGAAGUAGCUUAUGUUGGUCAUAGGGAAGGACAAGUGACUUGUUUAAAUUUGUAUUUGGUAUUCAUACUUUCCAAUUUCUGUACUUUUAAGAUACUGAGAUUAAAAUUGGUAUUAAUUUUUGUUUUGAUUUUAGCACGCCAGUGUAAUUUUUUUGUUGUUCAUUUUGUUUGAAAGUAUAAAUGCUGAAAGCUGUGUAAACUGUGUCUUUGGAAGAAAAAAAUUCUGAAUUCUAUUUCCAAUUCUGACUCUGCCACUUUACUGUCUCCUGACUCAGAAUAUUCUUUGGGGUUGUGGGAAGUGACCAUAAAUAUAUUUCAUCUUAUAUUUCUGAGGAUUGAAAAUUAAGAUUAAAAAAAAUUACUAGAUAAUUUCCUAAAUGUUAAUAGAACCUUUAAUUGGGCCUAGUCU